CCCCACAGCAAAUUCCAUGGAGACAUCUGGAUUUGUCCAGGACAAACUAACUGAAUGGGGAUUCAGUGAGUUCAUGCAGAGAUUUAAAGAUGAAGGCAUUGACAAGGAGACGUUUCUAAACCUUGGAGAUUCAAUCCGAAUUAAUUUACUGUUUCCUAAAAUUGGACCAAGAGUAAGGUUUAGAAAGAGACUGAAAGAUUACUUACAGAUGGAGACAUGUCAUUUUGUCCAGGAAAAAUGAACUGAAUGGCAUCUCAGUGAGCUGAUUCACAGAUUUGAAGAGGAGGGUAUUGACAAAGAAGCUUUCCUAAGUCUCGAGUCAGGCAGAAUCAAUACUUUGAUUCCAAAAAUUGGACCAAGAGUAAAGUUGAAAAGGAGGCUCAGAGAAUACUUACAGGACUUGAAUAGAACAAAUGAUGAUUCUGCUGACAUGAUGGAAACAAGCGCAGAGCAAAAGGACAGUUCAGAAAUGGAGCCAAACAUUUUUCCUCAACAUUUGGAAUCUGCUUCAGCGUCUGACACAACAGAUGG